rnacentral:rRNA from 1 species
GCGGACGGGUGAGUAAUGCCUAGGAAUCUGCCUGGUAGUGGGGGACAACGUCUCGAAAGGGACGCUAAUACCGCAUACGUCCUACGGGAGAAAGUGGGGGAUCUUCGGACCUCACGCUAUCAGAUGAGCCUAGGUCGGAUUAGCUAGUUGGUGAGGUAAUGGCUCACCAAGGCGACGAUCCGUAACUGGUCUGAGAGGAUGAUCAGUCACACUGGAACUGAGACACGGUCCAGACUCCUACGGGAGGCAGCAGUGGGGAAUAUUGGACAAUGGGCGAAAGCCUGAUCCAGCCAUGCCGCGUGUGUGAAGAAGGUCUUCGGAUUGUAAAGCACUUUAAGUUGGGAGGAAGGGCAUUAACCUAAUACGUUAGUGUUUUGACGUUACCGACAGAAUAAGCACCGGCUAACUCUGUGCCAGCAGCCGCGGUAAUACAGAGGGUGCAAGCGUUAAUCGGAAUUACUGGGCGUAAAGCGCGCGUAGGUGGUUUGUUAAGUUGGAUGUGAAAUCCCCGGGCUCAACCUGGGAACUGCAUCCAAAACUGGCAAGCUAGAGUAGGGCAGAGGGUGGUGGAAUUUCCUGUGUAGCGGUGAAAUGCGUAGAUAUAGGAAGGAACACCAGUGGCGAAGGCGACCACCUGGGCUCAUACUGACACUGAGGUGCGAAAGCGU